ACAUUUAGCUGAACUUCAGCUGUGGUUUAAGUUGAUGUAAUAUUUUUAUUUUAUUUUCAGCUUUUCACAAAAAUUAGUUGGAGAUCAAGCAAUAAUUGGCAGACCCCCUGCAGUAUGGCUGCGGACCCCCUGUCGAAGUCCCCGAAGAUUAUAGAGAUGAAAACAAAGCCGUUACUGUAGAGGAUUCACGACAAGAGACCUGCAUGUGGACUCUUAUCACUUAUCAAAGCCUGUUUCUGCCUGCAGAUGAAAAAAAAUGAAUUUAAAAAGGUUUGCGAUUUUCAUGAGGCGCAUCACCUUUAUGAUGACGAAUAUGAGCAAGUGGACAACUGGAGAUUGCAGCUAAAAACCCAAGAACUAAAGUGGGAUGCGAUCAAUGAAAUGGACGAGUACUUCAGCCCCAUCCACACAUACCAGGUGUGCAAUGUGAUGAGCCCAAGUCAGAACAACUGGCUGCGCACCAACUGGAUCCAGCGGGACGGUGCGCGACGGAUCUACAUUGAGAUGAAGUUCACCUUGCGCGACUGCAACAGCAUGCCGGGCGUCCUUGGCACCUGCAAAGAGACCUUCAACCUCUACUACUACGAAACAGACCGGGACGUGGGCACCAGCAUCUGGGAGAGCCAGUUCUCUAAAAUCGACACCAUCGCGGCAGACGAGAGUUUUACCAAUGUGGAUCUGGGAGUGCGGAGACUCAAACUUAACACUGAGAUCCGUGGUGUCGGGCCGCUGGGAAAACGUGGCUUCUACUUGGCCUUCCAGGAUAUCGGAGCGUGCAUCGCCAUCGUGUCGGUGCGGGUGUAUUAUAAACGCUGCACGGGAAUGGCGCGCAACCUGGCCAUCUUCACCGAUGUGGUGACGGGCGCAGAUUCGUCCUCAUUGGUUGAGGUUCGGGGUCAAUGUGUGGAUCACGCUGAGGAAAGAGACACGCCCAAGAUGUACUGCAGCGCUGAGGGGGAGUGGCUUGUUCCUAUUGGACGAUGCGUGUGCAGCGCUGGCUUCGAAGAACAUAGAGACAACUGCAUUGCGUGUGAGGUGGGUUUCUACAAGCCUGUGGCAGGAGAUCAGCAGUGUGGAAAAUGUCCUCUGCACAGUCACUCUGAGACUCGAGCAGCUCUGUCCUGUCCCUGUGAUGCCAACUUCUAUCGCUCAUCUACAGAUCCACCUUCUUCUCCCUGCACAAGACCUCCAUCAGCCCCAGUGAACAUCAUUUCAUCAGUGAACGGGACGUCGGUCAGUCUGGAGUGGGUUUCCCCUCUGGACACCGGAGGCCGCAGUGAUGUGAUCUAUGACGUCCUCUGCCAGAAGUGUGAUAAAGAUGGGUUACAGUGCGAGGACUGUCGGGUGGGUGUGGGUGGAGGUAAUGGGGUGGUUAAUAGUAAUGUUAAUGGAGCUUCAGGAGACACCAGUGGAGCUGCUGGCGGGACAGUGGGAGCCUUGAAUGGGCUUGUAGUGGCCAGGUCAGGAGCUGCUCUGGUGCGCUUCAUCCCACAGCGAACAGGACUUACUGAACCAUGGGUGACUGUGCUGAAUCUCGCCGCUCAUGCUAACUAUACCUUCCGAAUUAUGGCGCUAAACGGAGUCACGCAUCUGAGCAACGAGCAGCCGCAGUCUGUGAUGGUCAAUAUCACCACUAACCAGGCAGCUCCAUCUGAAGUGAUGGCCGUCCGGCAGGAAAACGCCAGUCAGAACAGCGUCACUCUUUUCUGGCAUGAACCAGCGCAGCCUAACGGAGUCAUAUUAGAGUAUGACAUCAAAUAUUACGAAAAGGACAAUGAGCAGCAAAGUUAUGCUACACUGAAGUCAAAGAACACCAGUGCUAAAGUGUCCGGUUUGAAGCCUGGAACGAGUUAUAUCUUCCAGAUUCGGGCCAGAACCUCGGCCGGCUGUGGACGCUUCAGUCAGUCAGUAGAGAUACAGACGGGCAAAGCACCUCCCCUGCGAAAUACCAACGUGACGAUUAUCUGGAUCUGCAUGGCUUCGGUAACAGGACUGGUGACAUUUCUGGCCGUUGUCAUCUGCAGAAAACGACGCUGUGGGUACAGCAAAGCUUUCCAGGACUCAGACGAGGAGAAAAUGCACUACCAAAAUGGCCACGUAUCAUUUCCAGAAGCCAGAUUUUAUAUUGAUCCCCACACAUAUGAGGACCCCUGCCAGGCUGUCCACGAGUUUGCCAGAGAAAUUGAAGCAUCCAGGAUCAAAAUAGAGAAAAUCAUUGGUUCAGGAGAGUUUGGGGAAGUGUGUUACGGCCGGAUGAAGCUGCCGGGGAAACGUGACGUCCCGGUGGCUCUGAAGACUCUUAAAGCCGGAUACACCGAGAAGCAGAGGAGAGAUUUCCUGGCUGAAGCCAGCAUUAUGGCACAGUUCGACCACCCAAACGUCAUCCACCUCGAGGGGGUGGUUACUCGCAGCAAACCGGUAAUGAUCAUCACAGAGUACAUGGAGAACGGCUCCUUGGACUCUUUCUUGAGGAGACACGACGGUCAGUUCACCAUUAUUCAGCUGGUUGGGAUUCUGCGUGGCAUCGCGGCUGGCAUGACUUACUUGGCUGAUCUGGGUUACGUCCACCGGGAUUUGGCCGCCAGAAACGUUCUGGUCAACAGUAAUCUGGUGUGCAAGAUCUCAGACUUCGGGCUUUCACGAGUGCUGGAGGACGAUCCUGAUGCAGCGUAUACCACCAGCGGAGGGAAGAUCCCCAUCCGCUGGACAGCACCGGAGGCCAUCGCCUAUCGAAAGUUUUCCUCCUCCAGUGAUGUGUGGAGUUAUGGAGUGGUGAUGUGGGAAGUGAUGUCAUAUGGAGAACAGCCAUAUUGGAACUUGACCAACAGAGAUGUGAUCAAGUCCGUAGAGGAGGGUUACCGUCUCCCAGCCCCCAUGGGCUGCCCCGGGGCCCUCCACACCCUCAUGCUGGACUGCUGGCAGAAAGACCGCAACGAAAGACCCAAAUUCUGCCAGAUCGUCACAGUCCUGGACAAACUGAUCCGCACUCCUGAAACACUCAAAUCAGUGGAAACAUUGUGCAGACUAAACAGUCCUUUGAUGAACAGAAGUAUUCCUGAUUUCACCAGCUGCAGAUCGGUGGACGAGUGGUUGGACACCAUUAAAAUGGGCCGCUAUAAGGACCACUUUGCCGCAGGAGGGUAUCGCACACUUGGACAUGUGAUGAGCAUGAAACAACACGACAUCCAGCGGUUGGGCGUCACGUUAAUGGGCCACCAGAAGAAGAUCAUGACCAGCGUCCAGGUGAUGAGAGCGCAAGUACUGAACCAGAGCGUGCCCUCCGUGCACAUAUAGUCACUGACUGAUCUGAUACAUGUUUGGGUCUCAUGUACGAACUGCAAAAAAAAAAAACUCUCCCCUCCUUAACAAAAACUGGACUAUUACUGCGAUAAAGGAUGGAGGUUUUUUUUUUCUUCUUCUUCAGCAAUGAUCUCUCUUCUCUUUUACUUCCUUUUGUAAAUGUUUGGACUGCCUUAAAUGACAUAAUUUAAAUAUCGUUGUACAUGGAUAAAGAUUUUAUUGAAUUCUAAAGUCAUGAAUAUGUAAUGAGCGGACUUAAUGAAUAUUAAAACCAUGGAGAUGAAUAUGCAUAGUGUACAAGUUUGGCCACACCCACCACAGCGCCGGAUGAAACUACGAGUGCCUGAAACAUGACACCGAGAAAAAACAAGACGUCGCAAGAGAAUAAACGAAUAAUCUACUGUAUGACAAAACCGAAACCCUCCGGAGGAAACGUUCAGCUUCUUCACAAGAUUACGGACAAACGCUGAAUUAGUCUCUGUGGUCAUAAAAAGAGGGGGGAAAGGCAAUUAUGUAUGUCAUGUGUUUGAUUAAACGCUCUGAAACUCAAGCGGCUGUUAUUUAUUGCGUACAGCGGCGAAUCCCUCUGGAAAUGAGAGGAAUAAAUGUGUGUAAAUGUUGGUCUGCGGAAAACAGAAGCGCUUUUGAAAUCUGUCUGAAAUGGAGUGUGUGUCUUUCUUUCAGAGUUCAGACCCAUUUGGAAAUAUUUGUUCUUAGCGUUCGCAGAGUUCGGGCUGUUUUACAUCGGAUACAUGAUUCAUUUUGGUGCGAAAUGAACAUAAAUGUGUGGAUUUUGAUGGGACUGACGCUUUUAAAGUCAACGUGAAAUUAAAACUGACCCUGAUUACUUUUCUCAGUGUAUUAUUAUGGACGGUUCAUCAUCGGUGCAUGUUUUAUUUUGUCAUUAAAAUGCAUUUUAAAUGCAUUAAACUUUGUUGUCAGUACAAAUUUCAUGUUGACUUUACCAAAACACUGGACCUCAUUUAAUUUUUGACAACAGGGUAUUAUCUGUAUGUUCAUUCUUAUUUUUUUAUUUAUUAAAUUAUGAUUAAUCAGAUUUAAUUAAAUUAAUUGUGCGUUUGUUUGGUGGAAUUAGUUUCCCAUGAAUCGUAUAUGUAAAUAUGAAUAAAAUACUGUUUUUUUUUGGCGCGCUCUUUCUUUGUUUCUUUGCAAAUAAAAACAAAACACUGUCAUUUUGUGUCUUUCAAUGCAUUUAGCGAACGCAGAGAGGAUAUUUAAAUGUGUUUAUCAAUAUGAUAAUGUUUUAGUAUCAUGGAGGUACUUGUGUUAACGUUUCGAUAUGUUUCUUUUAUUUUUAUAUUUGUGUUCAUUAAAAUGUAUUGGUUUUCUUAAUUUUGGUG
rnacentral:lncRNA from 1 species